rnacentral:piRNA from 1 species
UGUGAAAGAAUGUGAUAAGGU